GCUCAGGAUGAACGCUAGCUACAGGCUUAACACAUGCAAGUCGAGGGGCAGCAUGGUCUUAGCUUGCUAAGGCCGAUGGCGACCGGCGCACGGGUGAGUAACACGUAUCCAACCUGCCGUCUACUCUUGGACAGCCUUCUGAAAGGAAGAUUAAUACAAGAUGGCAUCAUGAGUCCGCAUGUUCACAUGAUUAAAGGUAUUCCGGUAGACGAUGGGGAUGCGUUCCAUUAGAUAGUAGGCGGGGUAACGGCCCACCUAGUCUUCGAUGGAUAGGGGUUCUGAGAGGAAGGUCCCCCACAUUGGAACUGAGACACGGUCCAAACUCCUACGGGAGGCAGCAGUGAGGAAUAUUGGUCAAUGGGCGAGAGCCUGAACCAGCCAAGUAGCGUGAAGGAUGACUGCCCUAUGGGUUGUAAACUUCUUUUAUAAAGGAAUAAAGUCGGGUAUGGAUACCCGUUUGCAUGUACUUUAUGAAUAAGGAUCGGCUAACUCCGUGCCAGCAGCCGCGGUAAUACGGAGGAUCCGAGCGUUAUCCGGAUUUAUUGGGUUUAAAGGGAGCGUAGAUGGAUGUUUAAGUCAGUUGUGAAAGUUUGCGGCUCAACCGUAAAAUUGCAGUUGAUACUGGAUAUCUUGAGUGCAGUUGAGGCAGGCGGAAUUCGUGGUGUAGCGGUGAAAUGCUUAGAUAUCACGAAGAACUCCGAUUGCGAAGGCAGCCUGCUAAGCUGCAACUGACAUUGAGGCUCGAAAGUGUGGGUAUCAAACAGGAUUAGAUACCCUGGUAGUCCACACGGUAAACGAUGAAUACUCGCUGUUUGCGAUAUACUGCAAGCGGCCAAGCGAAAGCGUUAAGUAUUCCACCUGGGGAGUACGCCGGCAACGGUGAAACUCAAAGGAAUUGACGGGGGCCCGCACAAGCGGAGGAACAUGUGGUUUAAUUCGAUGAUACGCGAGGAACCUUACCCGGGCUUAAAUUGCAGAUGAAUUACGGUGAAAGCCGUAAGCCGCAAGGCAUCUGUGAAGGUGCUGCAUGGUUGUCGUCAGCUCGUGCCGUGAGGUGUCGGCUUAAGUGCCAUAACGAGCGCAACCCUUGUUGUCAGUUACUAACAGGUUCCGCUGAGGACUCUGACAAGACUGCCAUCGUAAGAUGUGAGGAAGGUGGGGAUGACGUCAAAUCAGCACGGCCCUUACGUCCGGGGCUACACACGUGUUACAAUGGGGGGUACAGAGGGCCGCUACCACGCGAGUGGAUGCCAAUCCCAAAAACCUCUCUCAGUUCGGACUGGAGUCUGCAACCCGACUCCACGAAGCUGGAUUCGCUAGUAAUCGCGCAUCAGACACGGCGCGGUGAAUACGUUCCCGGGCCU
rnacentral:rRNA from 1 species